GAUAACACAACCAUAAAGGAGUAGUAGUGAACGCUUGGACACAAGAGAGCUGACGGUUGGUGCAAGUCAGUCAGAUAGCGUAGCGAACUCGCCUUUUAGUGAUUAAGAAUGAAACUUGAGUAGUUCUUAACGGCACACACCGUUAUGUGUAAGUGAUUAAGCGAAUGCGCUUAAUAAACUGGGUGGUACCGCGGGAUAUAACAGCUCUCGUCCCUUUG
rnacentral:ncRNA from 1 species